UUGUACUUAAAAAUUAUUUAAUCAAUAAAAUUGGAUUCUUUUUUAUAGAGGGCCCCCUCCUUUUUUUUUGUAUUCUUUUCCUUCUCUUUCAUCUUCUUAUACUAAUCUGAGUCAUGGUGCUCUUGUCUCCCAAUGACAGUGUCCUGUCGAAGCUCUCCCCCUGCCACAGGGGAUUCCUCUGAAGUCGACGAUCCGAGACCUCAGAAGGGAAGUUCAUCAGUUGAUGAAGAAAUUCAAAAAGCUGGAAGAUAAACUUCAC
rnacentral:lncRNA from 1 species